rnacentral:rRNA from 1 species
UUCUGGCUCAGGACGAACGCUGGCGGCGUGCCUAACACAUGCAAGUCGAGCGGGGAUACGGAUGAAGAAGCUUCGGCGGAUGGAAUUGUAUCGAGCGGCGGACGGGUGAGUAACGCGUGAACAAUCUGUCCCGGACAGGGGGAUAACACUUGGAAACAGGUGCUAAUACCGCAUAAGACCACGGUACCGCAUGGUAGAGGGGUAAAAGGAGUGAUCCGGUCUGGGGGUGAGUUCGCGUCUGAUUAGCCAGUUGGUGAGGUAACGGCCCACCAAAGCGACGAUCAGUAGCCGACCUGAGAGGGUGAACGGCCACAUUGGAACUGAGAGACGGUCCAAACUCCUACGGGAGGCAGCAGUGGGGAAUAUUGGGCAAUGGGCGAAAAAGCCUGACCCAGCAACGCCGCGUGAGGGAAGAAGGUUUUCGGAUUGUAAACCUCUGUCCUUGGUGACGAAGGAAGUGACGGUAGCCAAGGAGGAAGCCCCGGCUAACUACGUGCCAGCCGCCGC